GUGUCAGCAGCCGCGGUAAUACGAGGGGGGCAAGCGUUGUUCGGAAUUAUUGGGCGUAAAGGGAGCGUAGGCGGUUUUGUAAGUCGUGUGUGAAAUCUUCGGGCUCAACCCGAAGUCUGCACACGAAACUGCAGGGCUUGAGUAUGGGAGAGGUGAGUGGAAUUCCUGGUGUAGCGGUGAAAUGCGUAGAUAUCAGGAGGAACACCUGUGGCGAAAGCGGCUCACUGGACCAUUACUGACGCUGAGGCUCGAAAGCUAGGGGAGCAAACAGGAUUAGAUACCCUGGUAGUCC
rnacentral:rRNA from 1 species